rnacentral:lncRNA from 1 species
NNNNNNNNNNNNNNNNNNNNNNNNNNNNNNNNNNNNNNNNNNNNNNNNNNNNNNNNNNNNNNNNGCCCCGCCCUUUCAUUCAUCUCCGCCGGAGCGCCAAGUCCCCGCUGGGCGCCGCGAGGCGGGGCCUCGUAAGCGCAAAACUGCGGCCUCGGAGGGGAAGCGUGCUCGGGUGCGGGUGCGGCAGCCUAGGAGGAUGCGGAGGCCCGGACGGGGGGGCCUCAGUUUCCCCGCGGGGGGCCCCUGUGACUUAAGUCAGCUGAUGACCAGGAGCCCAGACCGGCGCUGGAGGAGGCGGUGUGGACCCUGAGGAAGGACCGUGGUGGCCGCCUUGAGGAGGGGCGCCUCUCACGUCCUCUCCCUCUCUGACCCCUGCGAACGGACCUGUGGCUGCCAAAGAUUCCUGAAAAGAAAUCCGAAAUGGAAGACAAUGCUGGUCCUGUAAGACCAACAAAAAAGACGGAGCAUCUGUCCCUGGUAGGAACUGCUUGUCAGCCCCCGCUCCCAGCAGAACCAGGGACUGGAUCCUCAGAUCGGACAUGUUCAGUCGCUUGUAUAAGGCUCCACGCCUAGCACAGAGCUCCAGCACGGGACCCGAACUCAUGACCCUGAGAUCACGACCUGAGCCAAGAUCAAGAACCCGACACCCAACCAAGAGAGCCACCCAGGAACCCCCAACCUUAAACCCCCUUUUUUUGUUUUUGAGACAGAUCAAGAGAGUGCUAGCUCGCACGUGCACGUGACCAGGGGAGAGGGGAAGAGAGAGAGAGAAACUUAAACAGGCUCCACGCCCAGUGUGGAGGCUGAUGUGGGGCUCGAUCCCAGGACCCCAAGAUGGUGACCUGAGCUGAAAUCAAGAGUCAGGUGCUUCACUGACUGGGUCCCCUCUCCCCGGGGUGCCCCUGUUUGUUAAGCUUCGAAUUUUGUUCUGUUCCUGAUCUUGUUGAGUUGCAUAUCCGUGUCCUCUCAUGGUUCCCCGGGCUUCUCGGAGACAAUUACUUUGCAUUCUCUGCCAGGGCGCUCAAGGCUCUACAUUUCUUCGGAGCUGGUCACUGGAGUUUCAUUAGUUCCCUUUGGCACUGUUGUGUUUACCUGAUUCUUGGUGAUGUGUGGAGCCUUGCGUGGGUGUGCGGGCCCUGAAGGAUGCACCUUCAGACUCAAUUUUUUUUUUUAAGAUUUUAUUUAGGGGCGCUUGGGUGGCUCAGUGUGUUAGAGCCUCUGCCUUCGGCUCAGGUCAUGAUCUCAGGGUCCCGGGAUGGAGCCCCGCAUCGGGCUCUCUGCUCAGCGGGGAGCCUGCUUCCCCCCUCCUCUCUCUCUGCCUGCCUCUCUGCCUACUUGUGAUUUCUGUCUGUC